rnacentral:rRNA from 1 species
GACGAACGCUGGCGGCGUGCUUAACACAUGCAAGUCGAACGGUGAAGCGCCUUCCUUUUUGGUGGGUGUGGAUGAGUGGCGAACGGGUGAGUAACACGUGAGUAACCUGCCCCCUUCUUCUGGAUAACCGCAUGAAAGAGUGGCUAAUACGGGAUAUUCUGGGUCUGUCGCAUGAUGGGUCUGGGAAAGAUAUUGUUUCGGUGGGGGAUGGGCUCGCGGCCUAUCAGCUUGUUGGUGGGGUGAUGGCCUACCAAGGCGGUGACGGGUAGCCGGCCUGAGAGGGUGGACGGUCACACUGGGACUGAGACACGGCCCAGACUCCUACGGGAGGCAGCAGUGGGGAAUAUUGCACAAUGGGCGCAAGCCUGAUGCAGCGACGCCGCGUGAGGGAUGGAGGCCUUCGGGUUGUGAACCUCUUUCGCCAGUGAAGCAGGCCUGCCUCGUUUGUGGGUGGGUUGACGGGAGCUGGAUAAGAAGCGCCGGCUAACUACGU